rnacentral:rRNA from 1 species
GUCCCUACGGGGGGCAGCAGUGGGAAAUAUUGCACAAUGGGGGAAACCCUGAUGCAGCAACGCCGCGUGAGUGAAGAAGUCAUUCGUGAUGUAAAGCUCUAUCAGCAGGGAAGAAAAUGACGGUACCUGACUAAGAAGCCCCGGCUAACUACGUGCCAGCAGCCGCGGUAAUACGUAGGGGGCAAGCGUUAUCCGGAUUUACUGGGUGUAAAGGGAGCGUAGACGGCAGAGCAAGUCUGAAGUGAAAGCCCGCGGCCCAACUGCGGGACUGCUUUGGACACUGCCCGGCUAGAGUGCUGGAGUGG